rnacentral:tRNA from 1 species
GCCCAGAUGGUGGAAUUGGUAGACACAGGGGACUCAAAAUCCCCCGGCCAUCGGCUGUGAGGGUUCGAGUCCCUCUCUGGGUACCA